GAUCUUGGUGGUAGUAGCAA
rnacentral:ncRNA from 3 species